GCUUGAGCACGUAGUGGGGUUUGUAAGUCAGAUGUGAAAGCUUUCUGUUCAACGGAAGAAUUGCAUCUGAAACUACAAGUCUUGAGUGUAGGAGGGGAGAAUGGAACUUCUGGUGGAGCGGUGAAAUGCGUAGAUAUCAGAAGGAACGCCGGCGGCGAAAGCGAUUCUCUGGCCUAUUACUGACACUCAGUGUGCGAAAGCUAGGGGAGCAAACGGGAUUAGAUACCCCGGUAGUCCUAGCCGUAAACGAUGGGCACUAAGUAGAGGGGAUUACCGAUGUUCUCUCUGCCGUAGCUAACGCAUUAAGUGCCCCGCCUGGGGAGUACGGCCGCAAGGCUAAAACUCAAAAGAAUUGACGGGGGCUCGCACAAGCGGUGGAGCAUGUGGCUUAAUUCGAUGCAACGCGAAGAACCUUACCGGGGCUUGACAUGGUAGAAGUAGGAACCCGAAAGGGUAACGAACGGUAUCCAGUCCGUGACUAUCACAGGUGUUGCAUGGCUGUCGUCAGCUCGUGUCGUGAGACGUUGGGUUAAGUCCCCUAACGAGCGAAACCCUUGUUUUUAGUUACCAGCGGGUUAUGCCGGGUACUCUAGAAAGACUGCCGUCGUCAAGACGGAGGAAGGUGGGGAUGACGUCAAGUCAUCAUGGCCCUUAUGCCCCGGGCUGCACACGUGCUACAAUGGUCGGUACAAACGGAAGCGAAGCCGAGAGGUGAAGCGAAUCCAAGC
rnacentral:rRNA from 1 species